rnacentral:tRNA from 1 species
GGAGACGUGGGAGAGUGGUUUAAUCCAGCUCAUUGCUAAUGAGCCGUGCGGCUUAUACCCGCACCGGCGGUUCGAAUCCGCCCGUCUCCGCCA